CAACCCUCAGGCCCCAGUGCCUGGUGUUGGGGAUCGGCCCAGCCUUCCUGUAAGGCCGCCGGCCCCGAAAUCUAGUGGCGGUCUCGCUGUAGUCCUCCUCUGCGUAGUAGCACAACCUCGCAGUUGGAACGCGGCGGUGGCCAUGCCGUUAAACACCCCACUUCUGAA
rnacentral:misc_RNA from 1 species